CCCCUCCUUUGCUGGUUCCUGGUAUUUGGUAGUAGCAUGAAGAAAGAGAGAAAGGCAAGAGAAGAAGAGAUAAAAAGGAUCAAAGAAAGAGAUCAAGUGUUGAUCUCGAUCCAAGCUUCGUUCAGAUUCAACAGGUUGAAUUUUUUUAGAGAAAAAAAUUUAAUUUUAAGAAGGCUAUUUCAGGCUAAUCUUGAGUGAAUAUCUGUAGAGGUCAGAUACUUAUGUGGCUAGAAAAAAAUCUCUUCUCUUUCAGAUCC
rnacentral:lncRNA from 1 species